UGGGGAAUAUUGGGCAAUGGGCGCAAGCCUGACCCAGCAACGCCGCGUGAAGGAAGAAGGCUUUCGGGUUGUAAACUUCUUUUUAUCAGGGACGAAGCAAGUGACGGUACCUGAUGAAUAAGCCACGGCUAACUACGUGCCAGCAGCCGCGGUAAUAAGUAGGUGGCGAGCGUUAUCCGGAUUUACUGGGUGUAAAGGGCGUGUAGGCGGGCUUGCAAGUCAGAUGUGAAAUUCCAGGGCUCAACCCUGGAACUGCAUUUGAAACUGUAGGUCUUGAGUGCUGGAGAGGCAAUCGGAAUUCCGUGUGUAGCGGUGAAAUGCGUAGAUAUACGGAGGAACACCAGUGGCGAAGGCGGAUUGCUGGACAGUAACUGACGCUGAGGCGCGAAAGCGUGGGGAGCAAACAGGAUUAGAUACC
rnacentral:rRNA from 1 species